CAAGGUUCAAGUCCCACUGAAACACCCCGAUUUUUCAAGGUUCAAGUCCCACUGAAACACCCCAAUUUUUCAAGGUUCAAGUCCCACUGAAACACCCCGAUUUUUCAAGGUUCAAGUCCCACUGAAACACCCCGAUUUUUCAAGGUUCAAGUCCCACUGAAACACAACGAUUUUUCAAGGUUCAAGUCCCACUGAAACACCCCGAUUUUUCAAGGUUCGAGUCCCACUGAAACACCCCGAUUUUUCAAGGUUCAAGUCCCACUGAAACACCCCGAUUUUUCAAGGUUCAAGUCCCACUGAAACACCCCGAUUUUUCAAGGUUCGAGUCCCACUGAAACACCCCGAUUUUUCAAGGUUCAAGUCCCACUGAAACACCCCGAUUUUUCAAGCCCUACUUCGGGAUUUACUGCAAGGUCUGAUUCUGUGUGUGUGUGUGUGUGUGUGUGUGUGUUUCUAUUUGUAUGUCUGAUUGUGUGUGUCUUUCUGUACCUUUGUUUUCAUGCGUGCGUGUGUGUGUGUGUGUGUGUGUGUGUGUGUGUGUGUGUGUUCUGAUAA